rnacentral:rRNA from 1 species
GACAGAGGGUGCAAACGUUGUUCGGAAUUACUGGGCGUAAAGCGCGUGUAGGCGGUUCGUAAAGUCGGAUGUGAAAGCCCUGGGCUUAACCCAGGAAGUGCAUUCGAAACUCACGAACUUGAGUCCCGGAGAGGAAGGCGGAAUUCUCGGUGUAGAGGUGAAAUUCGUAGAUAUCGAGAGGAACAUCUGUGGCGAAGGCGGCCUUCUGGACGGUGACUGACGCUGAGACGCGAAAGCGUGGGGAGCGAACAGG